rnacentral:tRNA from 1 species
CGGCCGGUAGGGCGCGGGAACGCCGAGCGUGGUGGCGUCGCGCGGCGGCGGCUGCCGGUUGUCGUGGUCGAGGUUCCACCGGCCGCCGGCCGG